rnacentral:rRNA from 1 species
UACGUAGGGUGCGAGCGUUAAUCGGAAUUACUGGGCGUAAAGUGUGCGCAGGCGGCAGAGCAAGUCGAGUGUGAAAGCCCCGGGCUUAACUUGGGAAUUGCGCUUGUGACUGGCGUGCUGGAGUGUGGCAGAGGGAGGUGGAAUUCCACGUGUAGCAGUGAAAUGCGUAGAGAUGUGGAGGAACACCGAUGGCGAAGGCAGCCUCCUGGGCCAGCACUGACGCUCAUGCACGAAAGCGUGGGGAGCAAACAGG